GGGCGAUUAGCUCAGUUGGUUAGAGCGCCACGUUUACACCGUGGUUGUCGGCGGUUCGAGUCCGUCAUCGCCCACCA
rnacentral:tRNA from 2 species